UGCAGAGUGGGCGAGGGUUCCAAAAUGGCGAUCAGAUUCAGGAUGAGGCUCGAUCAGAGAGCUGGGGAUUUGCGGAGGCUGUUGCCCCUCUUCGUAGAUGCCGAUCUCUGUCUUCUCAGAUCGAUCAGCUUCGCCUGAGAGCCGAUGAUUCAGUUCUCAAACUCAACAGCCCCUUUCGGUAAGAAUAUCACCAUCUUAUAAGCUUCACUAAUAGCUUAAUAAGCGGUCAAACCGCUAAGCCAAAGGCUAAAGACACAUCCAUGCCCUAACUACUUGACAGGUAAAGAAUUGAACCUACGAUGAUGUGAAUCUCAACUCAUCAUGCCCUAACUACUUAGACUUGUGUCGUAGAGGCCACAUCCAUGCCCUUAAACUUUGCCCGUUUAACUAAUUGUGUCCCUGAACUUGAAGGGAGACGUAUUGUGCCCCUCAAGUUUUAAUUUAGGACCUGUUAGACAUCACGAUCUGUUUUGUUUGAUUGCGGUUUCUGUUCUUAAGACCUGGUUUCCGAAUCAGAAAACAGAUCGGCCGUUGCCUUCCGUUCUGUUUCUUCUCUUUCUAUGAAUCCAUUUUAUUUCUUAGUAAUGGAAAAGAAAGGAAAAGAGUAGAAUGGAAGUAUUGCCAUUCCAUGCUUUCUUCCAAACGUACUGUAAAUAUGGUGGCCCGGAAAAUGAACCCGACUGAGGCUUUGCUGUUCUCACAGAGAGAUGGGAUGUUUCUUGAGGGUGGUUGCCCCUCUCUGUGCUGGUAUUCGAAGCCGAUGAUUUUAGAUCCAUCUCCAAAAUCAACGGCCCUUUGGGUGUGUGUGUGUUGGCGCACGUUACUCUUGUGUUCGUGCAUUCACAUUUAUAUACAUACAUGCAUACAUAUAUCAGCAUUUGCUUCUUGUUCUGUCCUUCAAUUCCAAGUUCUUAAAAGGGGCUAUGAUGAUGAGCUUCCUGGGUCCAGAUCAGUGUUGGCUGGGUGGGAUCCGACCCUUUUCUUGGCGGGGCAACCCGGAUGGCCAGUGAUCCAAGAAAUUAAUCGGGUGAUAUAUAUAUAUAUAUAUAGAUACAGAGGAUGUUUGGCUUAUCCUUUUUUUUAAUCGGGUGAUAAGAUAUUGCAAGUGGUCA